UUCUCUUUCUCUCUCUCUCUCUCUCUCUCUCUCUCUCUCUCUGUACAGGAUCUCUGACAGUGGAACUGGAGGUUUUUUGUCUUAGUCUCCAUAAUGUCA